AGUGAACGCUGGCGGUAGGCCUAACACAUGCAAGUCGAACGGCAGCACAGUAAGAGCUUGCUCUUACGGGUGGCGAGUGGCGGACGGGUGAGGAAUACAUCGGAAUCUACUUUUUCGUGGGGGAUAACGUAGGGAAACUUACGCUAAUACCGCAUACGACCUACGGGUGAAAGCAGGGGAUCUUCGGACCUUGCGCGAUUGAAUGAGCCGAUGUCGGAUUAGCUAGUUGACGGGGUAAAGGCCCACCAAGGCGACGAUCCGUAGCUGGUCUGAGAGGAUGAUCAGCCACACUGGAACUGAGACACGGUCCAGACUCCUACGGGAGGUAGCAGUGGGGAAUAUUGGACAAUGGGCGCAAGCCUGAUCCAGCCAUACCGCGUGGGUGAAGAAGGCCUUCGGGUCGUAAAGCCCUUUUGUUGGGAAAGAAAAGCAGCAGGUUAAUACCCCGCUGUUCUGACGGUACCCAAAGAAUAAGCACCGGCUAACUUCGUG
rnacentral:rRNA from 1 species